rnacentral:rRNA from 1 species
UACGAAGGGGGCUAGCGUUGCUCGGAUUUACUGGGCGUAAAGGGCGCGUAGGCGGACAGUUUAGUCAGAGGUGAAAGCCCAGGGCUCAACCUUGGAAGUGCGCUCGAAACGGCGAGGCUGGAGUGCCGGAGGGGAGAGUGGAAUUCCCGGUGUAGCGGUGAAAUGCGUAGAGAUCGGGAGGAAUACCGGUGGCGAAAGCGACUCUCUGGACGGCAACUGACGCUGAGGCACGAAAGCGUGGGGAGCAAACAGG